AUUUUGGAAACCUUCUAUAGAGGGUUCGUGAGCUCGCCGCGUGGAGGUGGAAGGCCUAUGGGUCAUCAACUUCUUUUAUCAGAGAAGAAACAAUGACGGUAUCUGAGGAAUAAGCGUCGGCUAAUUCUAUGCCAGCAGCCGCGGUAAGACAGAGGAUGCAAGCAUUAUCCGGAAUGAUUGGACAUAAAGCGUCUCUAGGUGGAUUUUCAAGUCCGCCGUCAAAUCCCAGGGCUCAACCCUGGGCAGGUGGUGGAAACUACCAAGCUGGAGUACGGUAGGGGCAACGGGAAUUUGCGGUGGAGCGGUGAAAUGCAUUGAGAUCAGAAAGAACACCAACGGCGAAAGCACUCUGCUGGGCCGACACUCACAUUGAGAGACGAAAGCUAGGGGAGCGGAUGGGAUUGGAGACCCCAGUAGUCCUAGCCGUAAACGAUGGAUACAAGGUUAGUUUUUUCUUCAGUUUUCUUUACAGAUUUUUUUGGUUUCCUUUCGUUUCUUCAUUUUUUUU
rnacentral:ncRNA from 1 species